UGAGAUCAACAUCUCGAUACGGACACUGUAGCUUUGUGUUUGUAAAUUGUUUGUAAUUAUUUCACGUUAUUUAAGUGUUGUUCGGUUGUUGUGAUUAUUUUUAAAAGAAUCAGUUCCAACGAAUGGACUCAACGUUCCCGCCAAACAAACUUUUGAACGUUAGAAUACAAACGGGUCGUUUUUUGUGUUUCGGGUUUUGUUUAAUUAUUAUUUCUUUGAUUCUGUAGUUUUUCUUUGUUGAUUUAUUGAUUCUUUAAAAAUGUUUUAAUUCGCGCUAUCGUAGAUGUUCGCGAUCGGAAAUCAGUGCAAUUUGUAGAAAUCUCUUCCGUGUAUAGAGUAGGUGUAUCGUAGUGCGCGUUAUGUUCCGUUCGCCCGCGGCCCGGCGCGGUGCUCCGCGAGACGAACUGUCGCAUUGUACAAAUUUAAUAUGCCUACCAAAGAGACCCGGUCUCCUAACCUUAAUUAAAGCUAAGUAAGAAAGAGUCUAAGUUUACUGGCCUUGUGCGAAACGUUAAUCUUCCGCGCCAUCUUAUCAAUCAAUACUCUCGCAUAAGUUUAGUGUAAACGUGAUCGUGUUCCUGCAAUUUUAAUAGUCGGUGAAGUUAAACAAAUUGCCAUAAUUAUAAGUAGGUAUUAUUUUAGACGUUAGCGGUGUAAAUAGUUAGGGUAUGGAAGUGAGCGGUUCGCGAUUGCGCCGGCGCCGUGGAAUGGGCAGAAAAAGGCACAGGAGAGCGCGGCAGCGGCGGGGCAGAGGGGCGCGCGCCGCCGGCCACCGAACAAGACUAGGUGGUCGUCGUGUUAAAUGCUGUUAACGUAUCGGUAGGUGAUAGGAAAAUGUUUGAAUCAGCGCGCUCUUCAACAGCUUAAAAGACCUUAUACGUUUUAGGAGCGAUAAGCGAUAGAUGGAUCGUCCGUCGUAUUACCGAUCGAUUCACUCGGCGCUGCCACGUCGCGGAAUCAAGAUAUUAAUGUUGACUGUCGAAUAAAUUUUUACGCCCACACUAACGCUUAGGCGAUCGACUACCGUUGAUUUAUCGUCAAAAUUUCCCGUUAGCAACGCUCGCUGAGCACACUCCGAACAUCACUAUUUCACAAAUAAAAGAACCCGUCGCGAUAUCAUCGUCGACCAUAAAUUAUAUAACGCUCGCAUGAAAAAUACGCGUCUCCGUGCUUGGUUAUUUAUUACUCGAAAUAUAUGCAUAAGUUAUGUUAAGCCCGAAGAACAUUUAGGUGUAUUAAUUAGAAGCGUAGAGAAUGUAACGAGUUAAGAACGUUUGAUUAUCGAAGUGGAGUAAAAGUAUUCUAGCAGCAUUGCAAAAGUGUCCGGUAUCGUCGCAGUGGAUCUGCUAUCGGCGCUAUCGCUCCGGUGGCUGUGCCACACUAGGAAUAGGUCGAGUUCCCGCGUUGUUCCGAGCCGUGAUAUAUUGUUCCGCAUCUCCCUGUAUAAAUCUUGAACGCCUGCUGAGGUACACGGGACACGGCCGCCGCGCCGCAGCUUCGAGCUUCAAAUGGAAUUGUGUUUUUAUUUAUCGUGCGAAUCGUAACCCACUAUCGCUCACUCGAAAUCGCACUUUAUCUGCCGAAAUGCGGACUUGGAUCAAUGUUCACUUUAACCCAUAACUGGUUGUGUACUCUACGCGCCGUCUCUAUGCUCUUAUCGAUGUAUCACUGUUUUGGUAUUCAACGCUUUUGAACUUUUAGUUAACUGAAUUACGAAUUGUUAACUCUCCGUUACAAAAUGACGAAACAUAUUUAAAUAUUUUGUUAAAAAUCACAAUAGAUUUAUCAAAACUUUGAAUAAAACGUUUAAACUAAUAUAAAUAAAUAAAUCAACGCGUUCAGUGUGGGCUAAGAUACCGUAUUUGUAAAAGAAAAUCAUGUUUUUAUCUGAUCAUGCUGUGGAAAUUUCCUGUAGGAGUAUUGAAUUCUUUUUGUAAAGUAUUUUCGGGUUGUAAAACGGUAUGAGAUUAUGUCGCGUGUGGAGAAGAGAUUGCUUAUUGUAAAUAUUAAGUACGAAUUCGUUAUCGAAAUCUGAUGUACAACGUCUGUAUACGGUCAUUAAACAUAAUAAUAGUGAUAUCUGUGCUGCAGAUUUUAUGUAUAAAUAUUAUUUUCUAUUGACAUGACGCUCCAGUUGUAUAGCUAUAUAAAUAUUAGAUGUAAAAAAAGAAUUAGAUCUUAAUGUUAAAUUUAUUUGACCUUAUCUCAAAUACUUUAAAUCACCUUAACAUAUUUGAAUAUAUAAGUAAGUUAUCAAGGUUUAUCGAAGUUCAAAAUUGAUUUAUAAGUCAGAAUGUUUUAAAUCAAUAAGAAGUUAUAUUAACUUCGAGUUCCUUUUAAUUAGAGGAUCGUAAAUCUCGAUAGCUUAAUGCGUCAUGUCAUAAAUCCUAAAUACGUAACUACAAAGGCUUUAGUACGAAAAAUAUUCCAUUUAUUAGUCGAUAGCUUAACUUAUACUUAGUAAAAUAGUUUACCUAUAGUCACUUUGAGAAAAUGACAACAAUCAAUACUAGUUGUGCCCAGUAUACGAAUAGCUAAUUAAAUUAAGUAAUAUUAUAAUUUAUUUUAUAAGAUACAGUAGUGGUAAUAUUUUUGGAUUCCUAUAAACAUAUACGUAAUUUGUCUUCUUUAUAACUUAGGAUUUGUCGAGCGGAAUUUGGUCGAGAUUCUUUCUGAUGUAAAUUUUUAAUUCCAACAAGCUUUGAAAGUGCCAAAUUAAUUGAUUUUGUCAAAAUUACUAAUUUAAUAUUAACGUACACUUUUAAAUAUUGUGAAUACCUGUUAAAAACGAAAGAAUCUACACCGAAUACUUUCUUGAUCUAUUUUUUUUUGUUAAAUAUUGUAAAUAUUGAAUUACUUAUUUAUAAAAAUAUCCUUAUAUCUGUUAUAAUUUUACUUAUGUGAAUCAAAAUUUGUACACUUGUUUUGAAAACACGAUUAUCGGCAUUCGAAUAUUUUUUUAUUGUUUAACAAUCGAUAUGAAUAUUUUAUUUAUUUAAUUUGGUACAUGCUCAGGAAUGUUAUACGUAAAUUUUGUCCUUAAUGAAGCAUUUGUCAUACGUAAAUAUUAGGUAGGCCCAAAUUAUUGUAAUGUAAUAUAAUUAAUAUUAAAUAGUAUAGAUGAAGAGAAAUACUUAAAACCUCGAGGGAUUCUAGUAUAAAAAUGGUUUAAAAGUUUUUUGUGUUUUAUGAUUGUAUUUGUGUGGAGCGUUGUGUAAUAUUAUAUACAUAUAUAUUGAUAUCUAUUAAAUUGGAAUGGAUAUUAUAAUUUUUUUGUACAAUAUCGGCGCCAGUGCGACACGAAACAUGCAUUAAAUAAAAAUUCUGUUACUGUGA